rnacentral:rRNA from 1 species
UACAGGGGGUGCAAACGUUGCUCGGAAUCAUUGGGCGUAAAGCGCACGUAGGCGGUUCGUUAUGUCGGAUGUGAAAGCCCUUGGCUUAACCGAGGGAGUGCAUCCGAAACUGGCGAGCUAGAGUACUAAAGAGGAUCGCGGAAUUCCCGGUGUAGAGGUGAAAUUCGUAGAUAUCGGGAGGAACACCGGUGGCGAAGGCGGCGAUCUGGGUAGAUACUGACGCUGAGGUGCGAAAGCGUGGGGAGCAAACAGG